rnacentral:rRNA from 1 species
CAAUAGCGUAUAUUAAAGUUGUUGCGGUUAAAAAGCUCGUAGUUGGAUUUCUGCCGAGGACGACCGGUCCGCCCUCUGGGUGUGUAUCUGGUUUGGCCUGGGCAUCUUCUUGGAGAACGUAGCUGCACUUGACUGUGUGGUGCGGUGUCCAGGACUUUUACUUUGAGGAAAUUAGAGUGUUUCAAGCAGGCACACGCCUUGAAUACAUUAGCAUGGAAUAAUAAGAUAGGACCUCGGUUCUAUUUUGUUGGUUUCUAGAGCUGAGGUAAUGAUUAAUAGGGAUAGUUGGGGGCAUUCGUAUUUAACUGUCAGAGGUGAAAUUCUUGGAUUUGUUAAAGACGAACUACUGCGAAAGCAUUUGCCAAGGAUGUUUUCAUUGA